UGGUGGAGUGAUUUGUCUGGUUAAUUCCGUUAACGAACGAGACCUCGACCUGCUAAAUAGUUCGGCUUAGUUUCGACUAAGUACGCGACUUCUUAGAGGGACUGUCGGUUUUAGCCGAAGGAAGUUCGAGGCAAUAACA
rnacentral:rRNA from 1 species